UACAGAGGUCUCAAGCGUUGUUCGGAUUCAUUGGGCGUAAAGGGCGCGUAGGCGGCGGGGUAAGUCGGGUGUGAAAUCUCAGAGCUCAACUCUGAAACUGCACUCGAUACUGCUUUGCUUGAGGACUGGAGAGGAGACUGGAAUUCACGGUGUAGCAGUGAAAUGCGUAGAUAUCGUGAGGAAGACCAGUGGCGAAGGCGGGUCUCUGGACAGUUCCUGACGCUGAGGCGCGAAGGCCAGGGGAGCAAACGGG
rnacentral:rRNA from 1 species